rnacentral:rRNA from 1 species
GACGGAGGGCGCAAGCGUUGUUCGGAAUUACUGGGCGUAAAGCGCGCGCAGGCGGGAAGGUAAGUCUGGAGUGAAAUUCCGGGGCUCAACUCCGGAGCUGCUUUGGAUACUGUCUUUCUAGGGACCGGUAGAGGCCGGUGGAAUUCCCGGUGUAGAGGUGAAAUUCGUAGAUAUCGGGAGGAACACCAGUGGCGAAGGCGGCGACCUGGGCCAAUAUUGACGCUGAGGUGCGAAAGCGUGGGGAGCAAACAGG